rnacentral:rRNA from 1 species
GAUGAACGCUAGCGGCAGGCCUAACACAUGCAAGUCGAGGGGUAGAAGCUUUCGGGCUUUGAGACCGGCGCACGGGUGCGUAACGCGUAUGCAAUCUGCCUUGUACUGAGGGAUAGCCCAGAGAAAUUUGGAUUAACACCUCAUAGUAUUUUUGCCUGGCAUCAGGUGAUUAUUAAAGGUUACGGUACAAGAUGAGCAUGCGUCCCAUUAGCUAGUUGGUAUGGUAACGGUAUACCAAGGCUACGAUGGGUAGGGGUCCUGAGAGGGAGAUCCCCCACACUGGUACUGAGACACGGACCAGACUCCUACGGGAGGCAGCAGUGAGGAAUAUUGGUCAAUGGGCGCAAGCCUGAACCAGCCAUGCCGCGUGCAGGAUGAAGCAUCUAUGGUGUGUAAACUGCUUUUGUACGGGAAGAAACACUGCUACGUGUAGCAGCUUGACGGUACCGUAAGAAUAAGGAUCGGCUAACUCCGUGCCAGCAGCCGCGGUAACAC